CUACGGGGUGCACCAGUGGGGAAUAUUGCACAAUGGAGGAAACUCUGAUGCAGCAACGCCGCGUGGAGGAUGACACUUUUCGGAGCGUAAACUCCUUUUAUAUAGGAAGAUAAUGACGGUACUAUAUGAAUAAGCACCGGCUAACUCCGUGCCAGCAGCCGCGGUAAUACGGAGGGUGCAAGCGCUACUCGGAAUCACUGGGCGUAAAGAGCGUGUAGGCGGAUAGAUAAGUCAGGAGUGAAAUCCUAUGGCUCAACCAUAGAACUGCUCUUGAAACUGUCUAUCUAGAAUAUGGGAGAGGUAGAUGGAAUUUCUGGUGUAGGGGUAAAAUCCGUAGAGAUCAGAAGGAAUACCGAUUGCGAAGGCGAUCUACUGGAACAUUAUUGACGCUGAGACGCGAAAGCGUGGGGAGCAAACAGGAUUAGAUACCCCCGUAGUC
rnacentral:rRNA from 1 species